rnacentral:rRNA from 1 species
UACGUAGGGUCCGAGCGUUGUCCGGAAUUACUGGGCGUAAAGAGCUCGUAGGUGGUUUGUCGCGUUGUUCGUGAAAACUCGCAGCUCAACUGUGGGCGUGCGGGCGAUACGGGCAGACUAGAGUACUGCAGGGGAGACUGGAAUUCCUGGUGUAGCGGUGGAAUGCGCAGAUAUCAGGAGGAACACCGGUGGCGAAGGCGGGUCUCUGGGCAGUAACUGACGCUGAGGAGCGAAAGCGUGGGGAGCGAACAGGG